GUAGGUGAACCUGCGGAAGGAUCAUUAACACGUAUUCACGUUUAUCACCCGAGAAUUUCCUUAGGAUGGCUUAUUUGAGUAAAAGCCUUAUGCUCUUUUGUCAAUGUAUGGUGAGGAGUCUCAGUUAGGACCCCACUUGGGAUAGAUUGCCAGCCGCUCCUUAUGAGUUCUUCAUGAGGGUAUGUGGAUCUUUCUAAUCCGAGUGGGGUUCUGACAGGGACAUCUUGUUGUACGUCAAUGAGAGAGUGUUAAGCUCGGCCCGACAACCUCGUCAAGAAGUUGUUGUGGACAUUGAAUUUGCUUCCUAAGUAACUACUUUCUUUAAAGUGGUUAAGACUUCAAGGGACACCCUCUUCGGAGGGAGUUCUUUGAAGUUACUUGAAACCCAUUUUUUCUAAACUAAAAGCCGUCUCUUUGUAGGACCGCUUUUAACCGAAUAUUAGCAACGGAUAUCUUGGUUCUG
rnacentral:misc_RNA from 1 species